rnacentral:rRNA from 1 species
AUAUUAGCGGCGGACGGGUGAGUAACACGUGGGUAACCUGCCUGUAAGACUGGGAUAACUCCGGGAAACCGGAGCUAAUACCGGAUAGUUCCUUGAACCGCAUGGUUCAAGGAUGAAAGACGGUUUCGGCUGUCACUUACAGAUGGACCCGCGGCGCAUUAGCUAGUUGGUGGGGUAAUGGCUCACCAAGGCGACGAUGCGUAGCCGACCUGAGAGGGUGAUCGGCCACACUGGGACUGAGACACGGCCCAGACUCCUACGGGAGGCAGCAGUAGGGAAUCUUCCGCAAUGGACGAAAGUCUGACGGAGCAACGCCGCGUGAGUGAUGAAGGUUUUCGGAUCGUAAAGCUCUGUUGUUAGGGAAGAACAAGUGCGAGAGUAACUGCUCGCACCUUGACGGUACCUAACCAGAAAGCCACGGCUAACUACGUGCCAGCAGCCGCGGUAAUACGUAGGUGGCAAGCGUUGUCCGGAAUUAUUGGGCGUAAAGGGCUCGCAGGCGGUUUCUUAAGUCUGAUGUGAAAGCCCCCGGCUCAACCGGGGAGGGUCAUUGGAAACUGGGAAACUUGAGUGCAGAAGAGGAGAGUGGAAUUCCACGUGUAGCGGUGAAAUGCGUAGAGAUGUGGAGGAACACCAGUGGCGAAGGCGACUCUCUGGUCUGUAACUGACGCUGAGGAGCGAAAGCGUGGGGAGCGAACAGGAUUAGAUACCCUGGUAGUCCACGCCGUAAACGAUGAGUGCUAAGUGUUAGGGGGUUUCCGCCCCUUAGUGCUGCAGCUAACGCAUUAAGCACUCCGCCUGGGGAGUACGG